rnacentral:rRNA from 1 species
UACGUAGGCAGCGAGCGUUGUUCGGAGUUACUGGGCGUAAAGAGUGCGUAGGCGGUUUUCUAAGUUUGGUGUGAAAUCUCCCGGCUUAACUGGGAGGGUGCGCCGAAAACUGGAAGGCUUGAGUAUGGGAGAGGUAAGCGGAAUUCCUGGUGUAGCGGUGAAAUGCGUAGAUAUCUGGAGGAACACCGGUGGCGAAGGCGGCAUCCUGGACCAACACUGACGCUGAGGAGCGAAAGCCAGGGGAGCAAACGGG